rnacentral:misc_RNA from 1 species
GAUAAUGCUUCACUAGCAGUCUUUGAUAUAGGAACAUUAGACAGAUGGGAGACAAAAGCAUAAUAUGAAGGAGAUAAGUUGUGAUAAGUUAAGAAAUUGUAAAUAGGAUGAGGGUUAUGAGAAGAAUGACUACCCUUUCAAAGAGUAAUAGGUGGAGUUACCAGAAUCUAGGAUUGAUGGAUCAAUUGAUGAGGGUUUGGUUAGACAAGUAAAGGAAUUACCAGAAUGGAUAACAUGAUAGAGAAAAGAAAAAACAGAACAACGAAGUGGUAGGAAGAAGAGGAUAGAGAUUUUUAUUCAAAAUACACAAAUGGGUCCAGGUGGAUAUAAGACACUAAGAUCUCUAUCUCACCCAACGGUAAGAAUACUGCCCCUAAGCAACAAGAUAGCUGGAAGAAACAUUACAAUUCAGAUCAUACCCUCCCCCAACUCUUCCUCUCCUAUUUAUAAUUACCCCUAGCUAUCGUUUCUUAUGCAUCCAGAAAUCACUUAGCAGAAUAAUGCUGAACUGGCUCUCCACCUAUCCAUUUUAUGUAACUUUCUUGUCUCUUUUAGAAUAUACGCUCCAGCUCUUUUUCUUCCUUCUUGGUUCAGCUGUAGCAUGUUCUGUAUCAUAACACUGGAUAAGGAUGAAUGUUGCUUUGCUGUUUGAUACUGCAAAUAUCCCUUAUAGUCAACCCUAGUGAAAGUAACUUAGGUAUCUUAUCUGAUCUGUUACACAUAUUCAAUGACUAUCCAGAAGUUAUAAUCCACAACUAAUAAUAAUCUAUAUCCUAAAGAUAAUGCUCACAGCCACACGGACCAAUGACAAAUAUAAAAGAAUAGCUCUGAGUAAUUGUACCGAAAGAUCAGUAAAGAAGAAAUUGAAGGAGGGAGGACUGAGAAAUCAAAGGACCUAGUGACUAUGUGGGUCCAAUUUGAGGUCAUUGGAGUGCGGCGAGGUGGCUGGAGUGGACGGGACAGAAAAAGGUGGCCAGAGUGUCACUCACACGCUAGCGCGUGGAAUUGGGGGCUAGAUAGCUGUGGCGGUUUUUGGGGGGCCCACAUUGGGGUUUCCAAUGACCAGAUUUCUUGGGGAGAGUCGCCGGCACUAGGUGAUGCUUUUGAGGUGGGCAGUAAGACAAAGGAACGUCACACGCCUACCCUUAGAGAGAGAGAGAUUCUUUGAUUUUUCUGUGACGGAGAAUGAAACAGAGAAGGGAAGAUGAGCUGGAUAUUAGUAACCUAGCUGUGAUACCAUGUGAGAAAGAAGAGAGAAUAAAAUUUUUGUGAAAGGAAAAACUUAAUUCAUUCCUUUGAGCAAGAUUUGUAUAUAUAGAGUUAUAGGGAAUAGGAAGCUAUCACAGUUGCAUAGGAAUUCUAAUUCCUAUUUACAUAAAUACAUCCUAAAUUAGAGCAACUAAUUUAGAGUUAAUAAGGAAACACAUCUUAGUAGAGUCGAUAUAACCAAGGCUCCAAUUGUAAUCUCACAUUGCUUUCUUCCCAAUUCUUCCUGAUUAUUUGAUGACUCUUCCCUAACCUUUUGCAAAAACAUCAAUUUCCACACCAUGGACUCUUCAUAUUCAAAAUCAUCAUCCUCAUCCUCGCCUUAUUUGGGUUUGCAGCAAAUUUCUUUUUGUUUUUCAACAAAGUUCACAGUUUUCCUCCUUGUACAUUCGUGUGACCUAUGCCCCUCUUCAUUGCAUUUAUAAUGUUUAAUAAGAGUUGGUUUAGCAUAGGGAUUUGUACCUUUUGGGGUAUUGGAACUUGUCGCCUUAUCAACUCUACCUGUUGGAUUCUUGUUGCUUGCCUUCUUCCCUUUGGCAACAUUAGCACAAUGGGAACCUUCCUCUUCCUCUUUCCCAACUAUAGCCCAUUCGUUGUCUUCAUUAUACCUAGGACAAGAAUCAUGGUGCACCUUUUCGUACGUCAUCAUCUUCGCCUUUAACGCCAUAUUCUUUGCCUCGGACAAAGUUCUUAGCACUUGAACACCAAUUUGAUCCUUGAUUAUGGGCCUCAAUUAUUCCAAAUACCUUGCAACUUGUUGCCCCUCGGUUUCGUGAAGAUUAUUCCUCUUGGCUAAUUUCAUGAACUUAAUAGUGCACUCAAGGACUGUUCGGUUUCCUUGUUGACACCAAUGGUACUUUGGGAAGAGAAUCUGUUCGGAAAAUAGAAUGUAAAGGAUAAUCAAACACGCCUAAGCUUUGGAACAAGGCAAACAAAAUUGGAAAACAAAAAAACUUAUGAAAGACUCAAACUACAUGCCAAAAUAAGAAGAUAAGCUCUUUUGUUAUAGUUUUUUAUGAUUUAAGAACAUAAACA